rnacentral:rRNA from 1 species
AUUGAACGCUGGCGGCAGGCCUAACACAUGCAAGUCGAGCGAGCGGCGGACGGGUGAGUAAUGUCUGGGAAACUGCCUGAUGGAGGGGGAUGACUACUGGAAACGGUAGCUAAUACCGCAUACCAUCAGAUGUGCCCAGAUGGGAUUAGCUAGUAGGUGGGGUAACGGCUCACCUAAGCGACGAUCCCUAGCUGGUCUGAGAGGAUGACCAGCCACACUGGAACUGAGACACGGUCCAGACUCCUACGGGAGGCAGCAGUGGCGAAUAUUGCACAAUGGGCGCAAGCCUGAUGCAGCCAUGCCGCGUGUGUGAAGAAGGCCUGCGGGUUGUAAAGAACUUUCAGCGGGGAGGCGUUACCCGCAGAAGAAGCACCGGCUAACUCCGUGCCAGGAGCCGCGGUAAUAC